rnacentral:rRNA from 1 species
UACGGAGGGUGCGAGCGUUGUCCGGAAUCACUGGGCGUAAAGGGCGCGUAGGCGGCUUGUCACGUCGAUUGUGAAAGCCCGAGGCUUAACCUCGGGUCUGCAGUCGAUACGGGCUAGCUAGAGUGCGGUAGGGGAGAUUGGAAUUCCUGGUGUAGCGGUGAAAUGCGCAGAUAUCAGGAGGAACACCGAUGGCGAAGGCAGGUCUCUGGGCAUUAACUGACGCUGAGGAGCGAAAGCAUGGGGAGCGAACAGG